GGAAAAUUCUUUAUGUUGAAUCUACAUCUGUUUCUCUACAGUUUGCCAUCGUUGGAGCUGUACAGAAUGUUGAAUACUGCUUCCACAAAUAUUUGAGGACUGCUAAUACAUUUCCUUCUUCUACUCACUCUACAAGGCUCCUUUUCUUCCAACUAAACAUGCCUGUUAUUUCAAACAGGGAAGCAGUGUGGGGCAGUGGAAAGAAGGCCGGCUUUGGAGCCAGAUUCAU
rnacentral:lncRNA from 1 species